rnacentral:rRNA from 1 species
UGGGGAAUCUUCCGCAAUGGACGAAAGUCUGACGGAGCAACGCCGCGUGAGUGAAGAAGGUUUUCGGAUCGUAAAACUCUGUCUUUUGGGGCGAACGUGAGUAUGGUGAACAAUCAUAGUCAGUGACGGUACCAAAGGAGGAAGCCACGGCUAACUACGUGCCAGCAGCCGCGGUAAUACGUAGGUGGCAAGCGUUGUCCGGAAUUAUUGGGCGUAAAGAGCGCGUAGGCGGGAUAGUCAGUCUGUUGUAAAGUGCGGGGCUCAACCCCGUGAUCGCAAUGGAAACAGCUAUUCUUGAGUGCAGGAGAGGAAAGUGGAAUUCCCAGUGUAGCGGUGAAAUGCGUAGAUAUUGGGAGGAACACCAGUGGCGAAGGCGACUUUCUGGACUGUGUCUGACGCUGAGGCGCGAAAGCCAGGGGAGCGAACGGGAUUAGAUACCCCGGUAGUCCUGGCCGUAAACGAUGGGUACUAGGUGUGGGAGGUAUCGACCCCUUCCGUGCCGGAGUUAACGCAAUAAGUA